rnacentral:rRNA from 1 species
AUUGAACGCUGGCGGCAGGCCUAACACAUGCAAGUCGAACGAGUGGCGGACGGGUGAGUCAUGUCUUGGAAACUGCCUGAUGGAGGGGGAUAACUACUGGAAACGGUAGCUAAUACCGCAUAACAUAGGAUGUGCCCAGAUGGGAUUAGCUAGUGGGUGGGGUAAAGGCUCACCUAGGCGACGAUCCCUAGCUGGUCUGAGAGGAUGACCAGCCACACUGGAACUGAGACACGGUCCAGACUCCUACGGGAGGCAGCAGUGGGGAAUAUUGCACAAUGGGCGCAAGCCUGAUGCAGCCAUGCCGCGUGUAUGAAGAAGGCCUUCGGGUUGUAAAGUACUUUCAGCGGGGAGGCGUUACCCGCAGAAGAAGCACCGGCUAACUCCGUGCCAGCAGCCGCGGUAAUAC